AGUGUCGCAGGGAAACCGAUAAACACACCGCCUGGGGAGUACGACCGCAAGGUUAAAACUCAAAUGAAUUGACGGGGACCCGCACAAGUAGUGGAGCAUGUGGUUUAAUUCGAAGAUACGCGCAGAACCUUACCAACACUUGACAUGUUCGUCGCGACUCUAAGAGAUUAGAGUUUUCGGUUCGGCCGGACGAAACACAGGUGCUGCAUGGCUGUCGUCAGCUCGUGUCGUGAGAUGUUGGGUUAAGUCCCGCAACGAGCGCAACCCUCACUUUUAGUUGCCAUCAUUAAGUUGGGCACUCUGAAAGAACUGCCAGUGAUAAGCUGGAGGAAGGUGGGGAUGACGUCAAGUCCUCAUGGCCCUUACGUGUUGGGCUACACACGUGCUACAAUGGCAUCUACAACAGGAAGCAAAACGGCAACGUUAAGCAAAUCCCGAAAAGAUGCCUCAGUUCGGAUUGCACUCUGCAACUCGAGUGCAUGAAGCUGGAAUUACUAGUAAUCGUGGAUCAGCGUGCCACGGUGAAUGCGUUCCCGGGUCUUGUACACACCGCCCGUCACACCAUGGGAGUUGGUUCUACCUUAAGGCAAGGUUUUAAACCCUUGACCACGGUAUAGUCAGCGACUGGGGUGAAGUCGUAACAAGGUACC
rnacentral:rRNA from 1 species